UAUUUUCAUAGUCUCUUUUUGCUAAAUAACUACUAUGUGUCACAUAGGCAUGCCUUUUAAAGCUUUAUGAUGUGCUGGUAUUUAUUAUUCUCAUUUUCCAGAUAAGGAAACUGAAGUUCAGAAGGGUGCAAUAGCUACCCAGCUAUGGAAAAAAGGAUCAAGGACUUCUUGUGUCUUAAGGCAUUCAGUUCUCAAACUAAUAUGAGAGGGAGAUAGUAUUGUUAUUCUUUCCAUUGUUGAUUACUAUUUUGCCUAACACCCCUAUUUCCCUCUCUGCAGUGGCUCUCCCUGUGAGAGGAGUAUGCUUCUUGAUCACUGAAGGCUGACUAGGCGAUGCAGAAGGAAGAGAAACAUAAUAUUGCAAGUUGUGAGUUCAAAGCAAUGUUCAGUAAGUAUAAGUCAGAGAAAGCCUUGACAUAAGCGUAAUAGGUAUGUAAAUAUCUGUCAAUAAUAUUUGUUAUCAAUUCAGAGG
rnacentral:lncRNA from 1 species